CGAAAAUGCCGAGAUAGCCCAAAUAUAAUAGGCGGAAAAACGGCCAAGAUUUCCAAAAACGCCCGCCAUAAACCAGGGCAUAAACUCCUUCACCUUGGCCUAUCUUGGCCAUUUCCGCCAAUUUACAUUCCGACUAGAAACGGCGGCUACGAAGUUUCUUAUAGGUAUCUUGGCUACGAAAGCUGAUCUGUGACGUCCGGGAUAUGACGAAGUGGCUACAUGACGCAUAACGCUGAAUGCCUCUGCCCGCCUCUGCACUAGCCGAAGUGAGCCGAAAUUCACUUCGGAAUCUCGCCGGCUGAAUAAUCGAACGGACCGGUGGAUAGAUGGGCCUCAACACCAGUCUGACACCGCCCCGGGCGAUGGGCGCCGCGCGGGGGCGGCUGACGUCCCGGCGGCCGACUGGUCCGC